GAAAAGUCAGUAUAUUUAUGGUUUGCUUUAUAAAAGUUACUAUAAUACAAUGGUACAUAGUAUUCAAUUCACAAAAAUAUGAACAAAUAUAUACAGCAUGACACAUCCACAACAAAAACACUUUCUUCAAAACAAGAUACAUACUGGUGACAGAUUCUAUAUGCACAAAACAUCCCUAAAUUUAUAAAUUGGCUUAACGAAAGAAAAAAAGCAGAAAUCCUAAAUCUUCAAAGCAGAGUUGGGGUUUUUCUUCUUUUAAGGAACUUAAAAAGAACAAAAAACAUUUGAUUUUCGUUUAUUGCAAACCAUUUUACUUACCUCCUUUUAAAGGAGGCCCCUUAUUUUCACACUGUGAAUUAAAACAACCAGAAAACUGCAAGGAUUGGGAGCAGGGGUUGUUCUUUUCCACUUCGCUUUUAAAACUGCCCAUUGGGUUUAGAGUGCCCGUUCCGCUGUGUUUCGUUUCACUUGGACAAAUACUACAGUGGCAAUUAAGGAGGAAAGUCAUGAAAACAAAAAACAAAUAUUAACUUGAAAACAAUCCAGUUGCAAACUCGCUUAAAUACACUUUAGGUUGUCUAUUAGACUGUACACAUUUCCUCGCUUGAAAUAAAUAGAUUUUGCACAUUAGGUUUCAGACUGAGGGGAGGGGAAAGAAGAAGCCUUGACUUGGCAAUUCUGUCUUCAGUUUCUUAAUGCUUCUAAUUCCAUCUAUUUAUUUGACAAAAAAAAAACCCCAAAACAUAUUUAUACAGAAUUUACAUUAUACAAAGCUUGACACAAGCUGUAAAUGCCACCAGCUCCUUUGCUAUACUUAAGUCCUUCUUCCUCCCCAUCUCCUCGACAUGAUUUAGAGCUGGGAUCUGUUUAAAAAGAACUCCAAAUUACAAUAGUCACUUUUAAUAAAUUAUUUACAUGCUCUUGAAGUACAAAGAAAUCAGCAAAAAAAUUUUCAACAUGUUUCUACAAGAAACAGUGUCUGAAGAGAAGAUUCUUGACUUUGCCUAUGUACAGAAGAUGCAUUUUUCUUUUUUUAUACUUCAAAAUCCUUUUUUUUUUUCCUUAAAUUUUUAUUUUAUACAGAAAUGCACUGAAAUGAUCCCUGAAAAAGGUCACAAAAACCGGAACUGAAACUACUGUUUGUUGGAGUUUAAAAAUGGUUUUGUUUUUCCUUGUAGAAAUAAGCUGCUCUAUAUAAUAUAAAUAUCUGCAAGAUGAGCCCCUUCCCCUCCUGGACCCCCCAACAGUCACAGACCACUUAUUGGGACCAACCUGAAAUUGCAAACAGGGGGGAGAACCGGAUGGAUAAAUGAAGGUGUUGGGCAGCAGGAGGCGGGAUCUGCAAGCAGAGAGCUCACUUCCUAGAAACUCCAACUGUGGAGGCAUCUGCACCCUGAACCCCAGCCAGCUUCACGUUGGGAAACUAAAGGUUUAAGUUCUAAUUCCAAAGCUUUUGCACUGUUCUCUUGGGUCACUUCACCUGGUGAGACAGAAUUCCGCAGGGAGCACAGGGUCUCUCUUUUUUGCCUUAGGUUUCAAUUUAGGUGAAAAGAAACUGGGGACAGGCUUUCCAGCAAAGAACUUCAGUAAAUCUCUCUGUAAAGCAGCACAUGCUGGUGAGGUUUCUUUUUAGUCCUUGCCACUACUUCCAUGGGGUGCCAGGGUGCUGACUGUGGAGGCAAACACUGGGUCUGAUCCAGGCUGGGGCGUGAAUCACACACCUCCUGCCCUUCCCUCAUCUCACCCCAUUCUAAGUACAAGCCAAAGGGCCCAGGAGGGAUUACAGAGGUAUCUCCAUGGGGCUGCCUUCCAAAACCACGUCCGUGGCUGCAGGGCUCCCCUGCCCUGAUGAGACCCCACCAGCGUGCUGGGACAGGGCAGCCACAGGCAGCUGCAGCAGCUCAUGGAACUCACUAAACCACACUUAGAAUCCUCACUGUAAAAUAAUCUGGUUUGGGGAUGGGGCAGCUUUGGAGUCUGAGACAAGAGCUGCACAGGUAGGACUCUGCAAGCCAAGAUGGGGGAGAAAAGCCUCAGGUUUGGCUUUGAGACCAGACUAAUGUGAUUUUUCAGAAGUCCAACAGCUCCGUUUCCUACUGGGGAACUACCAGGAGCUUGGCUCUUCCAAAAACCCAUGUUGUUUGUCUGGGAUCCUAAAAACAGAUGAGUUAUAUAUAGGCAGUUUCAGAAGUACCCAAGUGAUUUAGGUGCCCAAAUCCCUUUGGUGCUCCUAAAAAUGCAGUGAAGAACCCCAACCUGCAGGUCUUGUUUCAGAAGACCAUGACCUGCCUCCUCCCCACCUCUCCUCAACAAAGAUUAAGGCAAACCACAGGGGCUAAUCCCAUCCAGAGCACACUGAUAUGCUGGGAAAUGCAACACUGUCAAUGGGUACGUAGGGACUGAGCCAUUUGGGGUGUCUUUGUCCCCACA
rnacentral:lncRNA from 1 species